AGUGAACGCUGGCGGUAGGCCUAACACAUGCAAGUCGAACGGCAGCACAGUAAGAGCUUGCUCUUACGGGUGGCGAGUGGCGGACGGGUGAGGAAUACAUCGGAAUCUACUUUUUCGUGGGGGAUAACGUAGGGAAACUUACGCUAAUACCGCAUACGACCUACGGGUGAAAGCAGGGGAUCUUCGGACCUUGCGCGAUUGAAUGAGCCGAUGUCGGAUUAGCUAGUUGGCGGGGUAAAGGCCCACCAAGGCGACGAUCCGUAGCUGGUCAGAGAGGAUGAUCAGCCACACUGGAACUGAGACACGGUCCAGACUCCUACGGGAGGCAGCAGUGGGGAAUAUUGGACAAUGGGCGCAAGCCUGAUCCAGCCAGACCGCGUGGGUGAAGAAGGCCUUCGGGUUGUAAAGCCCUUUUGUUGGGAAAGAAAAGCAGCAGGUUAAUACCCCGCUGUUCUGACGGUACCCAAAGAAUAAGCACCGGCUAACUUCGUG
rnacentral:rRNA from 1 species